rnacentral:sRNA from 1 species
GAAAAAAUUCCUGGAAAACCCAGACUUAUCUCAGACAGAGGAGAAACUUCGUGGAGCAGUGCUACAUGCACUACGUAAAACUACCUACCAUUGGCAAGAACUGAGAGUUGACGAGGAUGUGUAACAAGUAUUUUCUUCUAUCAUGCCUGCCAGGGCUGAAGCUGCCUGGUAUCCAGGAGGGGAAUGCUGGUAUCCCCAUAUGUCUGUGUUUGUUUGAGAUUUUUAAUAAUAAAUAAUAAAUUUUUAAAG